rnacentral:rRNA from 1 species
CCCUUAGAUGUUCUGGGCCGCACGCGCGCUACACUGACUACUUCAACGAGUUGUUUCCUUGAUCGAAAGGUCUGGGUAAUCUUUGAAAGGUAGUCGUGAUGGGGAUAGAUCCUUGCAAUUUUUGAUCUUCAACGAGGAAUUCCUAGUAAACGCAAGUCAUCAACUUGCAUUGAUUACGUCCCUGCCCUUUGUACACACCGCCCGUCGCACCUACCGAUUGAAUGGUCCGGUGAAGCCUCCGGAUUGGCGCGCACCUCGGUGCCGCCGAGAAGUUGGCUAAACCUUACCAUUUAGAGGAAGGUGAAGUCGUAACA